AUUGAACGCUGGCGGCAUGCUCUACACAUGCAAGUCGAACGGUAACAGGCCGCAAGGUGCUGACGAGUGGCGAACGGGUGAGUAAUGCAUCGGAACGUGCCCAGUCGUGGGGGAUAACUACUCGAAAGAGUAGCUAAUACCGCAUACGAUCUAUGGAUGAAAGCGGGGGACCGUAAGGCCUCGCGCGAUUGGAGCGGCCGAUGUCAGAUUAGGUAGUUGGUGGGGUAAAGGCUCACCAAGCCAACGAUCUGUAGCUGGUCUGAGAGGACGACCAGCCACACUGGGACUGAGACACGGCCCAGACUCCUACGGGAGGCAGCAGUGGGGAAUUUUGGACAAUGGGCGCAAGCCUGAUCCAGCAACGCCGCGUGCAGGAAGAAGGCCUUCGGGUUGUAAACUGCUUUUGUACGGAACGAAACGGCUCUGGUUAAUACCCGGGGCUAAUGACGGUACCGUAAGAAUAAGCACCGGCUAACUACGUG
rnacentral:rRNA from 1 species